rnacentral:hammerhead_ribozyme from 1 species
AUCCAGUUGACAAGUCCCGAAUAGGACGAAACGCGCGUUAUGGAU